rnacentral:lncRNA from 1 species
UUCCCUUCCCCCAGGGUCAAUUAUGUUCUGAUAAAACCCCAGCAGGUUAGCCUCUAGUUAAACAGUUUCACCUGAGAGCAGACCUUGUUAAGAAGAACAAGGUGCUCUGGGGUUUUUAAAAAUGAUUCCUUUUCUCCUCCGCCUGCUGGAAGCACCAGGAGAUUUUUCGCAUGUUCACUGUGAACCCAGUAGAGCCCUAAGAUGUAAAUUCAUAAAAGUAUUGGGGCCAUCAGAUGACUAAGUCCUCUUGGAGUAUUUGCUCUUCACUGAGCUUCAUCAAUUGCAUUUCAGUCUUCCAACUCUGACAGUGGUUCCCAAGGAGGUUUUGGCUUGUGGGUCUCUGCUCAGGCAUUAUGAUACUCCCUGUGGUACACAGAUACUUCUACAACAGCACUUGAUGCCCCCCAGUACAUAGUUGGAUAUUGCAAUUUCAGGUCCUUCUGGCUCUGCUUUGUGGGACACCCCCUCAGCACAGCUUCAUGAAUGGUGCUAGGUCUGCACCCAGGAGCCCAACCAGUGAAACCCUGGUCUGUCGAAGUGGAGCAGUGAACUUCACCACGCAGCCACAGGGCCGGCCCCUGUAUGAAAUUUUCAAUGGACGUAUUUGACAAAGGACUUAUAUCUGAAAUAUGUUAAGCAUUCUUGCCACCAAUAAGAAAAUCACUGACUAUGCAAUAGAUAAUAUGGGCAAAUGAUUUGAAUUUAUAUAUUAUAAAAGAUGAUAUAAAAUGGUCAUUCAACUUAUGAAAAUAUGCUUAAAAUCAUUAGUCACCAGGAAAAUGCAAUUUAAAAUUACAUUGCAAUGCAAUUGCACAACCAAAAAGAAUGACUGAAAUGAAAAAUUGACACUACCAAAUAUUAGCAAAGAUAUGGUGCAAAUGGAAAUCUCUUACACUUCUGGUGUCAGUUUAAGUUGAAGCACCCAACCAAUUGGUUUGCACUAUCAUCUAGUGUUAAACAUACACACAUUUUAUGACUCAGCAAUUCCACUCCUAGGUAUUUACCUGAGAGAAAUGUGUACAUUAUUCAUUAAGGACUCGUGUAAGGGUGUUUUUAGCAGCACUUUGCAUGAUGGCCCCAAUUAAAAAAAACAAAAACAAAUGCCCAUUAAAUUUAGUAUACUGUGAUAUAUUCAUGUAAUGUAAUAUUAU